rnacentral:lncRNA from 1 species
CUCUGCACCAAGAAUGCUACCCAUGCCACACUUAGGGAAGCACUAUCUUAAUGUCUGUGCAUGCUGGUGCUCUGCCUGGAAGGUUCUGACAUGGACACUCUCCAUGAGUUUUUUCUCAUCCUUCAUAACUCGUAAAUAUUACCUUAGUAAUAUAAGUCUUAGGCAACCCUCCUGUAGCAGAAUUACUUCUCCCCAUUAUCAGAGUACUCAGUCAUUUUUGUAGCACUUUCCUCUACUUCUUCAUUGGUGUUUCCCCAACUAAAAUAUAAGUUUCAUAAGGGCAGAGGCAGAGGCCAUGUGAUUCACUGUUGUAUCAUUAGUGUCCAGCACAAUGACUGGUAUGUGGAGAUGAUAAGUACCGAAUUAAUGUUUUCCCAGAACCACACUGGCUGCAUCUACCACCUUAAAAAGUUAAUCUUGGCCAGGCGCUGUGGCUCACUCCUGUAAUCCCAGCACUUUGGGAGGCCGAGGCAGGUGGAUCACCUGAGGUCGGGAGUUUGAGACUAGCCUGACCAG